rnacentral:lncRNA from 1 species
CUCCCGGCCCGCGGGCGAGCAGGGGUUAAGGCCGCGGCUCCCAAGUUGCGACAGAGCCACAGCCCGGCCGGCCGCGGUCCCUCCUCUCCUGCGGCUCCCACCGGCCAGGGGCCCGCCUGGCCUCCACGGGGGAGGAGAAGUUGGGGCGCACAGGUGGGCAGUGGCCGGCGGCCAUCCCCCCUGUCCCCCCCGGCGGACCAGGCUGUGGAAGGGAGGGCGAGCACGAGGGGUCAGCGGGUGGCACUUUUCUGGGUCAUUUGGUCCCAAACGUGCAGGACAAAGAGAGCUUCCCGGGGUGCUGAGUGUCCGGUUGCAGCGUCCAGUUUCUGGGGCCCCUUGGGGCCCCCGGCAGGCCCGAGCAUCUGCACCGUGGGUCCCAGGGCCGCCUGGCGGCUUGGGGUCACCCCGGGGAUGCGGGCCUGGGGGACAUGCCUCUGUCUUCGGGCCCCCCACCCUCCCUGGGGUUUGGGCCUCCAGCCCCUGCUCCUCUCUCCCGGCCUCAGCAUUCCGCCCUGUCAAGUGGGGUUCCGCAGAGGGGCUGGGGACAGCGAGUGGGGGAGCGGAUUGUCUUUCGGGGUGGGUGACGGGCGAAGGCCACCUCCUCGACUUUGGAGCUCUGGCCGCCCAUCCCGUGUUCUAGAAGAAGCCAGGCUCAGAGAGGGGAAGGCGCUGGACCGGGGCGGCACAGCAAGUCAGGGGUGCCGGGCGCCCCGGAGGCAAAAGGCAAGAGGGGAGGUGGGGGGUGUGCCCCUCCCCUCCCCCCCGACAACGCCCCCACCCGGCAUCUUGUAAAACUCCUGCCACCCUGCCCCUCCGGCUGCACCCGGGACAGGGCCCCGAGCUUCCGCGAGGCCCGAGCUCGGGGGAAAGUCCACGGGGAGGGGUGGGGGCGCCCCGAGCUCCCGGGCCGGGCACCGAGGGGAGCCGUGUUUGCUCAGGGCGGGGCCUGCCACCCUUUGGAAUGUCCCGAGGUCAGGGGAAGCCGUGGCGGGGAGGAGGGGCCGGCGGGGGGCGAAUCAGCAUUGCUUGAGCGCCUGCUGUGUGCUGGCGCUAUUAGAGUCCUGGGGCGGGGGAGAGGUUGAGCAGUGAACCCCUGAGCAGUGAACUGAGCAGUGAACUGAGCAGUGAACCCCAAAUUCUGGCCCCAGUGGAGCCAAUAUGUGGGGAAGGCCGGUGGCGGUGACUUGUCUGUGCCUCAUCAUCCUGGGUUCGAGGCCCGGAAGUGGAC